rnacentral:rRNA from 1 species
AACGAACGCUGGCGGCAUGCCUAACACAUGCCAGUCGAACGAGACCUUCGGGUCUAGUGGCGCACGGGUGCGUAACGCGUGGGAACCUGCCCUUAGGUUCGGAAUAACUCCCCGAAAGGGGUGCUAAUACCGGAUAAUGUCUUCGGACCAAAGAUUUAUCGCCUUUGGAUGGGCCCGCGUUGGAUUAGCUAGUUGGUAGGGUAAAAGCCUACCAAGGCGACGAUCCAUAGCUGGUCUGAGAGGAUGAUCAGCGACACUGGGACUGAGAUAAGGCCCAGACUGGCACGGGAGGGAGCAGUGGGGGAGAGUGCAGGAGGGGAGGAAGUAUGAUGCAGCAGCGUCGCGUGCGGGAAUAAGGAGUUCGGGUGGGAAAGAGAUUGCGCCUGUGACGAAGCGUGAGGGACGGUAAUGGGUAAAGAAGCAACGGCUCACGACGUG